rnacentral:rRNA from 1 species
CAUGGGCGAAAGCCUGAAUGGCCAAGCGGAACCGCCCGGCGGUGGGAGGGGGAAUUGAACGGGGCCCUUUCGGGGGUUGUAAACCUCUUUCAGCAGGGAAGAAGCGAAAGUGACGGUACCUGCAGAAGAAGCGCCGGCUAACUACGUGCCAGCAGCCGCGGUAAUACGUAGGGCGCAAGCGUUGUCCGGAAUUAUUGGGCGUAAAGAGCUCGUAGGCGGCUUGUCACGUCGGAUGUGAAAGCCCGAGGCUUAACCUCGGGUCUGCAUUCGAUACGGGCUAGCUAGAGUGUGGUAGGGGAGAUCGGAAUUCCUGGUGUAGCGGUGAAAUGCGCAGAUAUCAGGAGGAACACCGGUGGCGAAGGCGGAUCUCUGGGCCAUUACUGACGCUGAGGAGCGAAAGCGUGGGGAGCGAACAGGAUUAGAUACCCUGGUAGUCCACGCCGUAAAUCGUUGGGAUGCUACAGGUGUUGGCAGACUUCAGCGUCGUCGGUGCCGCGCAGUAGCAUNUGUACUCGCAUCGGGGGCUCGUCGCUCGGGUCUUUCUUAUUAAU